CUCUUUUCUUGCGCGUGCGUGCAGCUCCUAUGCUCAGCCUAAGAGGUAGAGGGGCCGUGUGGAGUGUGGGCCCGAGAGUCCGUAGAUGACGUAUCAGUCGAUAGGCAUUUAUUCUACCGUUCAAGGAAAACAAAUAAGGGUGCAGCUUAGGCGAAAAGAAAAACAUCUUAUUGCCAGUGUCUAAACUCCAACGGAAUGUGUCUGAGACCGUGUGUAUGGAUACACGUGUACUUGAAUCAACCCCGCCUGUGUGUACAGCUCUUGCUGUUAAGUCAACGCUUUACCGGAGCUAUCGCACUUAAGCCUCAGAACAACUUUAUGAGGUCUACUUCUAACAGGCUUGUUUAUAUGCAUUCUUAUUCUAUCCUGGAUUGGAAUCAGAAAAUUGGACAGUGUUGCAGGUUCUGACUGAUGCAGGCACACUGACAGUGAUGAAAGUGAGAACUGUGUCCUCUGAUGUACAACUCCAGUGGGCAACAUUUACAUUGUAAUGUAUGUAAAUGACAUUUCCUGAAGCACAAUUAAGAGGCUACAGAAUGUAUCUUCCAGGAGGGCAGGCCUAUAUCUUUUUGCUUACUCCAACUCCCUUCUAGCAAGUGUUUGACACAUAAAAGAUGUUCAGUAAGUACUGAUAAAGAUGGGGAGUGAAGGCUGAUCACAAAAUUUUCCUGCCCAAAUACUUUACAAAAUAGUUUGCGCGAAAAGAAGAACAGUAAAAACUCCUUUAAAAACCUUACCAGGGACUUCCCCGGUGGCGCAGUGGUUAGGAAUCUGCCUGCCAAUGCAGGGGACACAGGUUUCAGCCCUGGUCCGGGAAGAUCCCACGCUCUGCGGAACAACUAAGCCUGCGGAACUACUGAGCCUGUGCUCUGGAGCCCGCGAGCCACAACUGCUGAGCCUGAGCCUGAGUGCCACACUACUGAGGCCCGUGCGCCUAGAGCCCGUGCUCCGCAACAAGAGAAGCCACCGCAAUGAGAAGCUUGCGCACCGCAACAAAGAGUAGCCUCCGCUCGCAGUAACGAGAGAAAGCCCGCGCACAGCAACAAAGACCCAAGGCAGCCAAAAAUAAAUAAAUAAAUAAAUUUAUAAAAAAAUUACCAGAAGCAGCGAGAAAAAAGAAAAGUCUGCAACCUAAGCCAAUGAAGGCCAAAAUAAUACUAUUAUUUCAAAAUAAAUAAAUAAAUAAGUUUGGAUCAGCAAGAAAUGAAAUAAGCAUGGCUGGAAAUCAAAUUCUCACCAAAAGAAAAGACUGGAAAUCCCAGCACAUUCCCUAGUCAAUUCAUCAAGAUGAUUAUGCCUUGUCUCCUCUCUCCUAAAUCUCCCACAUUUCCCUGCUCCUCACUUCGAAUAUUUUAUUGAUAAAUAGAAGCUAUCACAAGAGAAACUCCUUUUUCCCACAUUAUACCUAUCAACCUGACUUCAUCUGUACUCUUCCUUUAUAAAGGGUCAACUCUCCCUGCUCUUAUCUAAGGCAAGCCCCUCUACUUGUACCCUGGAUCCCAUCUUGUAUAGUCAAGGAUACUGCUCCUGUGAUUACCCCCUCCAUUUCCUGCAUCCCCAGUUUCUCUCUCUUUACUGGAUUAUUCCAAUCAGUAAACAUACUGUAGUAUUUCCUUCUAAAAACACCAUCACCCUAGACCUCAUAUUCUCUUCCACUUACUUGGUGAGUAGGAGCCCAUUUUUUCUGCUCCCUUUUAUAACAAGCUUUUUUUUGCGGUACGCGGGCCUCUCACUGUUGUGGUCUCUCCCGUUGCGGAGCACAGGCUCCGGACGCGCAGGCUCAGCGGCCAUGGCUCAUGGGCCCAGCCACUCCGCGGCAUGUGGGAUCUUCCCGGACCGGGGCACGAACCCGUGUCCCCUGCAUCGGCAGGCGGACUCUCAACCACUGCGCCACCAGGGAAGCCCCUAUAACAAACUUUUAAAAGGUUGUCUCUACUUGGCAGUUUCCACUUCCUCACCAUACAUCAUCUCUUUAGUCCAUUCCAAUUAGGAUUAUUGUCUCCAUAGCUCCACCUAAACUGCUCUUGUUGAGAUCAUCAGUUACCUUCUUGCCAGAUCAUUUUCCUUUUCCCAAAUGUUUGGGACUCCCAGGCAUAUUCCUCACCCUUUUUUUUCUUCACCAUAAUAUUAAUUUCCCCCUCAGUCAUCUUAUCCAAUUUUUCUGAUUUUAAAUAUUGUCUGUGUUCUUAGGACUCCUGAAAUUUGUAUUCUAUCCCUAAUACCUUUGUUGAGCUCCGAACCCGUAUCUACCAACUCCACUCAGAUGUCCAAUAAGGACUGCAAAGUUAACUCAUUCAAAACAAACAUACUGGUUUUCUUCUCCCUCUCAAUUUACUUCUCCCCAAGUUUCCCCCAUGUCAACAAGUGGCAUUAUUUUCAUCCAGUUGCUCAAGACAAAAACCUAGAAGUCAUCCUUAAUUCCUCUUUGUGCCAGUUAUUAGGCUGUUAUCUCUUAGCAAUAAACCAUUCCAUACUCUGUGAUGCUGGGACUGGGACUCUGCAAGCUACAUUUCUAUACUUUGCCAGCUGAAUCCUUGCUACAGUCUGUCAGUAAGCGACAUUAGAAAAAAAAGACUAAAAGUCAGGAAGAGGGAAAAAGAACUUGCUCCUCCUUGUUGGCUUUCUGCACCUGCCAGCAUUGCCCCAGUUAUGGACCUUCACCCUCACAGCAGCAGUUAGCCCCAAAUUUCAACUAUUUUCCACUUCCCUAGAACCAGCCUCAGCACACCUCUCAGAGCCACUAGCAGCAAGUGGGCAGCACCCCCUGCCCCAGGUCAGGGUUCCAACUCUGCUGGGUCUCCCCUCCUAGCCCCGGGGUUCUAGUAACUUCAGGUCUUCCCAAGUUUAUCCAGGACUAGGUUAGUUCCUGAAGUUACUAUAUUAUCUCAGUGCUCCCCUUUUCCUUUUUCAGUUAGACAACACCUGUCUGACCAAUUCUUUAUAGUCAAUUUAUUGCUGUUGAAAUACUUAGCAGCAGCCAGAGUGACUCCUCUAAAGCAUAUGUCAUCUCCUUGCUCCUCAUCACGGUUGGAACAAAAUUCAGCCUCCUCUUUCAGGCCUUCAGCCCCUUUUGUGACCCGGCCUAUCCAACUUUCUAGUCUCAUCUCUCACCAGUUUCUGAUUACUCAUUCAGCUCUAAUCAUUCUGUCUUGAACACACCACUUUUCCACUGCAGGGCCUUUGUACUUGCUCUUCUCUACAUCUGGAUUGUCCAGGUCUUUGCCUGUCUCACAGCCUCGUUCCAUUCACGUUUAUUCUCAAAUGUCAUCUCGGAGAGGCCUACUCUCACUGCAUUAUCUAAAAUGCACAAUUCCCCCCCACCUCCAUUUCCUUACCUGGGUUUCUUAUUCUCACUACCUGACUUUGUUAUGUUAUUUCUCCCUCCGCUAUUCUCAAGUAAAAAGCUUCAUAGCUUCACAUAAAGGAAGGGAUGUGAUCUUAUUUAUCCCUGGUGCUGGCACUCAAUAAAUUCCAGUUGACAAUUGAAUUUAAUAAGUGAAUGCAGAAGAAAAGUGGACCAAAGUAAUUGCAAACAAGGUAAUAUGCAAGUGAGACAAAGACAACAUGAUAUAGCCUACUUCAACUCCCUGAGUACAUAAUGCAACAAAUGAAUCAGAAAAAGCACUUAAAGAUGUAACAGAAGAGAAUUUCCACAAAAUCAUGAAAGAACUGAAUCUGCAGAAUAAAAUGUUCAAAGAAAAAUGGACAUAUACUAUUCAUAUCAAGGCAUAUACUGGUUAAGCUAUUAGCCAUGAAGAAUGAAGGAAAAAAUUCAGACCUCCAGGCCGAAAACUAACUUAUCAGAGGGAGGAAAUCAUGCUGGCCUUAGACUUCCUCUAAGCAAUAUUCAAAGCCAGAAAACAAAGGAAAAAUGUUUGCAGUCUUAAGGGAAAGCCAGCAUGAUGCCAAACUAUGAUAUCUAAGUAAGUGACAUUCAGAAAUUGAUGAAAAAGGCAAACAUAACAUCCACGAAUCCAUGUUAAAAAAAAAAAAAAACUACUUAGUGAGGAGCAGAUAGCUAAGUGAUGAAUCAAAAUAAGUAGGAAUUGAGAACUGAGGUGUGUUGCGACCACUGGAUUUUAAAAUAGAGAUCAAGACCAAAUGACCAAAGGAAUUAAGGUUACAAAACAGGAACAUUAAAACCUUCACUUUAAAAAAUAAUGACAUAAAUAAAAAUAUAUCUUUUUCAUGGCAGAGUCAACUUGCAUUUCUAAAUUGGAAACAUACAGAUAAAAAAAUCUCCAAACUCUUAAUUUUUUAAACUUUGGAUAUUUUAGGACAUAAGAUCUCUUGUGGCAAAGAAACAUUUUUCUAGAGUUCAGCAAUUCCUUCAGCUUAUCUUACUACUACCAAAUUCAAAUAAUUUUAACACUUUAAAAAUUUAAAAAGGAUGCACAUUCUCAUCUUAAAUAAGAUUAACUUAUUUGUAUAAGUGCAUAGAAAUAUGCCUACCACGAUGGUCACUUAAUAUUGAUGGUAAAAUCUGGGAUCUGAGGAGAUUUAAAAACCUUCCUAUAACUUUCUAUAUUGUUUGAAUUAUUUAUAAAUGAACAUGUAUUGUUUUUAUGAAACCAAUAAAAACACUAUCCUUAAAAUACUAUUAUAUACAGCAGUGUGAAUAUACUUAAUACUACUGAACUGUACAUUUUAAAAUUAUUAAGAUGGCAAAGGGCUUCCCUGGUGGCGCAGUGGUUGAGAGUCCGCCUGCCGAUGCAGGGGGACACGGGUUCGUGCCCCGGUCCGGGAAGAUCCCACAUGCCGCCGAGCGGCUGGGCCCGUGAGCCAUGGCCGCUGAGCCUGCGCGUCUGGAGCCUGUGCUCCACAACGGGAGAGGCCACAACAGUGAGAGGCCCACGUACGGCAAAAAAAAAAAAAGAUGGUAAAGUUUGUUAUGUGUUUUUUUACCACAAUUAAAAAUAAAAAAUACUAUUAUAAAAAUUAUGAUAUAGGUCCAGCCAUUAUGGCUUUACAGAUGGAUUUUGACUAUCCCAAAUUCUCCUCAAAUCAAUUUUUUCCACCAAAGAUUACCCCUCAAAUUAUACCCUUCACAUAAUACUCUGUACUUGCUUAUACCUUAUCUAAUUUAAUUUUAGAAACAGAGACCAUUCACUGGCAGACAUUGUUAUAAGUAUGCAAAAUGAAAAGAUGCAUGUAAAAAGUAACUAAUAUGUUGUAUUACUCUAUUAAAUAUCUUAGUGUUAUGAAAAUGUAAAUAUAUGUUAUUUGAUUUACAUAUUUUGGUGGAAAUCUUUUAAUGAUUUUUUUUCUGAUUGUUAAAAUAUGUGCCCAUUUUAGAAAAUAUGAAAAAGAAGGUAAAAACCACCAUAAUUACAUAAUAUAUUUUGGUAUAUUUUUUCUCCCAACCCUUGAGGAGAAAUAGUUUUGUAACCUAAAAGAUUUAUCUGUACAUUAAAUUAAAUAUUAGUGUUUCUCUGUGGCAUUAAGUAUUUUUAGUUGUUGCAAAAAUUCCAUUAGAUUGAUGUACCAUGGUUUAUUUAAUCACUCCUUUACUACUGAAUAUUCAGAUUGUCUCCUCUCUAUAGGUGCUGUAAUGAUCAUAUAUAAAUCUUUGACUUCAUAUCUAAUUUUUUUAGGAUUGGUUCCUGGAAGUGGAACUACUAUUAUCAAAGAUUUGGACACUUUUGACUCCAGAAAAGUAAUAUAGUAAUAGAUGAGUUUGUAAAUUUCAUUGCAUUCUUAGCAACACUACCUGUUAGCACUUCUUUUCUUUUUUUCUUUUUUUAACAUCUCUAUUGGAGUAUAAUUGCUUUACAGUGUUGUGUUUCUGCUGUAUAACAGAGUGAACCAGCUGUAUUUAUAUAUAUAUUCCCACGUCCCCUCCCUCUUGCGUCUCCCUCCCACCCUCCCUAUCCCACCCCUCUAGGUGGUCACGAAGGACCGAGCUGAUCUCCCUGUUCUAUGUGGCUGCUUCCCACUAGCUAUCUAUUUUACAUUUGGUAGUAUAUACAUGUCAAUGUUACUCUCUCACUUCGUCCCAGCUUACCCUUCCCCCUCCCCAUGUCCUCAAGUCCAUUCUCUACAUCUGAGUCUUUAUUUCUGUCCUGCCCACAGGUUCUUCAGAACCACUUUUAUUUUUCAGAUUCCAUAUAUAUGGGUUAGCAUACGGUAUUUGUUUUUCUCUUUCUGACUUACUUCUCUCUUUAUGACAGACUCUACAUCCAUCCACCUCACAACAAAUAACUCAAUUUCGGUUCUUUUUAUGGCUAAUAUUCCAUUGUAUAUACGUGCCACAUCUUCUUUAUCCAUUCAUCUGUUGAUGGACACUUAGGUUGUUUCCAUGUCCUGGCUAUUAUAAAUAGUGCUGCAAUGAACAUUGUGGUACAUGACUGUUUUUGAAUUAUGGUUUUCUCAGGGUAUGUGCCCAGUAGUGGGAUUGCUGGGUCAUAUGGUAGUUCUAUUUUUAGUUUUUUAAGGAACCUCCAUACUGUUCUCCAUAGUGGCUGUAUCAAUUUACAUUCCCACCAACAGUGCAAGAGGGUUGCCUUUUCUCCACACUCUCUCCAGCAUUCAUUGUUUCUAGAUUUUUUGAUGAUGGCCAUUCUGACUGGUGUGAGGUGAUACAUCAUUGUAGUUUUGAUUUGCAUUUCUCUAGUGAUUAGUGAUGUUGAGCAUCCUUUCAUGUUAGCACUUAUUUUCAAUCUCUGUCAAUCUGAUGGGAAGACUCUUUCUGUAAUUUAGUUUGAUAAAGUUGCAUUUUUGCUGAUCCACUCAAUAACUUUACUAUUUCAAGGACUUAUAAUUCUUUGUCUUCUCCAUGAUGCUUAACAGAGCCUUGCUAAGAUACAGAAGAAAUGUAUUGUUUUAUUGGCUUUGGCAGCAUUUCUUUUAAAAUACAUUAUAUCUUGAACACAUAGAAAGGUGAAGAAAGAUAACAUCAAAAAGGAUCCAAAUUAUUUUACUUAAUAAAAAGUAAGAUUGUAUUCAAUUCUUAAUGUAGUCAUAGAGCGUUAUUACUAUCAGCCAGCAAUAUCAUAUUUUAUUUAUUGAAAUCAUAUUGAAUUUAUUGCUUAAUGUGCCAUUUUUACUACAGCACUUUUCAAAAUGCUUCAAAAUGCUUAGUCUAUAAGGUUAAGAAAAACAUUCACUAGAUAACUACUUUGAAAUAAUUUCCUCAACUCUGCCUUCAUUCAAGAGGCCUAAAAACAGACUGGCCUACUUCCAACUUUCACGUUAUCUUUGCUAUGAAGUCAUUCUAUAGAUAGGUUAAUAAGCAUUCUGGCAUACAGAAAAAUAGUUUCUGUAAAACUAUAUUGCAUAGUUUGGCUGGGGUUGUUCCUCCUUCAGAACUGCAUUACGUAAUUUUAAAGUGUUUACUUAAGCUCCUUUGGGCUGCCUCCAUGGUAGCUAUGAAGUCACUGAGAAUUAGGAACAGUUUGGGGCCUGAUAACAAAGUCUAUUAGUUUAAUGUGAACACUUUGUCAAUUUUUUUUAUCACUGCCAUAUAAGGAACUUUAAAAACAAGGAUAUUAAUUCAUUUUAUUUUUUAAAAAGUUUGCUACUUCAAAAAUCAUUAAGAAAUACACACACACACACAAAAGGUUCAUAAAUGUACAUUUGCUCAUUACCUAAAUGUACUUAUUUUAAAACCCGUACUCUAUAGCAUGAAUUCACAGUGUGAUUCUGACUUAUAAAUAAUUAUGCAAAAUUACCAAAAUGUAUAGAGCACAGGCUUUAGGAGAGUAUGAAUUAUUAAAACGGCCUAAGCACUAUUUCUAUCUGUAAGUCAUAAAGGAAGUUUUCUAUGAGAACAUCAAAGAUAUAUAAAUUAUAAUAAUAUCAGCUUUGGGAGAAUUUAAAAAGAUACUAGGUUAUAAGAUUAUUUUAUCUUGAUUACACAGAGAAAGGGAGUAUCUUCAGUUCCUCAGAGAACUCUUGAGCUCCUUUACCAACUAAAUAAGAAUGUGUCAUGCAAUGUGCGUUGUACAAGUGGGAGAAGAGUCAUUCAGAUUUUGUAUGUUAAUCAAGUGUUAUAUCACCUCAAGGAAACAUGCAAAUUCUUAUAAAAUACCUAAAAUCUCAACCAUCACUUUAGAAUUACUGAGUUUUAUGAACCAACAAGCCCAAGUAAAGUCAAGAUCCUGACAUCUGGGACAUCCCUGGUGGCGCAGUGGUUAAGAAUCUGCCUGCCAAUGCAGGGGACACAGGUUCGAGCCCUGGUCUGGGAAGAUCCCACGUGCUGCAGAGCAACUAAGCCUGUGUGCCACAACUACUGAGCCUGUGCUCUAGAGCCCACGAGCCACAACUACUGAGCCCACGUGCUGCAACUACUGAAGCCCACGCUCCUAGAGCCCAUGCUCCGCAAUGAGAAGCCACCGCGAUGAGAAACCCGCGUGCCGCAACGAAGAGUAGCCCCCACUCACCGCAACUAGAGAAAGCCCGCGCGCAUCAACAAAGACCCAACACAGCCAAAAAAAAAAGAUCCCGACAUCUAAAAACAUGUAACCCUUUAAAUGUCAUUUUAUUUUAAUUAUGUAACAUGAGUUUAUUAUAAAAUUACUUAUAGGAAUAAUCUCGAUAGCAUUUUGUUUUUUAACUUUGAAGUCAUUGAUGGCCUUGCCAAUGAUCUAGUGAGGUCCAAAGUCAGGGACAAUUCAAGGAGGGAAUGGAAGAACUUUUAGGACCUGAUUAUCUCCUUGAAGGUGCAGCCACUGUGCGUGUCCUACCUAGCUUAGGAGAGAGAGAAGUGUCUGUGUAUAGGAGGCCUAACCUGGAGGGGAGGGAAUGGUCAUGAGGGAGAAAAAUGGGGGAUAAUUAUGAGACUGCCCAAUCAGAUUGGCUCUCGAUUUGCUUUGCUGUAAUGAUGAAAUGUUUGGGUUUUUAUAUUUCAUUCUAAUAUCAAAAAGAGGAUAUUUAUUUGGUUUCUUAUGUUUAAACAUUUUUCAUAUACAAUAUAUUUAUACAUCUAUUUA